UACGAAGGGUGCAAGCGUUAAUCGGAAUUACUGGGCGUAAAGCGUGCGUAGGCGGUUUCUUAAGUCCGUUGUGAAAGCCCUGGGCUCAACCUGGGAACUGCGAUGGAUACUGAGGAGCUGGAGUACGGUAGAGGAAGGUGGAAUUCCCGGUGUAGCGGUGAAAUGCGUAGAGAUCGGGAGGAACACCGGUGGCGAAGGCGGGUCUCUGGGCCGAUACUGACGCUGAGGAGCGAAAGCGUGGGGAGCGAACAGG
rnacentral:rRNA from 1 species